GGAACCUUUCCAUAGUUGCACUUGAUCAAAAGACCACCGUAAUUAUAAUAAAUAUUAAAUUUAGGAUACACAACAACCCCUACUUGAUAUGGACCCAUGUUGCUUUACUGGGAACACCUUCGUGGACCACAAACAACUGAUAAUAUCCUGCUGGUGCUAGUGCGGGGGUUGCCGGAGUAUUGACAUGGACAACAUAGUUGUUUCCGGCAGCCACAUUUUGUACACCAUUAUCGUCCAUAGCCAAAACCAACAACCUCUGAUUCAUAGCCAAAGAAUGUGUAGUGAAAGAUGGUGCCACCAUUGUAACAUAAAUAUUUCCAAGGCUUUCUUCUUCUUUCAACUGAAACCACAUAGAAAAUUUCUGCUUGUAACCAAGAUUCACCCCUGGAACUAUUGCAGUGAUUGAUGGCCGGGAAGUAUUUGAGCUGAGAUAUGGUGGAUAAAAUGCUUCGAGGCUUAGCUCUGUUGGAUAGAGUGCAGUGAAGUUGUAUUUUCUAUUAGGAUUGCUUCCCCCGACCAAAACGCGACCAUCUGAUAUCAAAUGAGCAGUUGAAUGAUAGAGACGUGGAAUCGUAGAGGGACUCAUAAUCUCAAACCUGCUAGUGUUGUUAUUCUUAGGCGUAUUGGGC
rnacentral:misc_RNA from 1 species